rnacentral:rRNA from 1 species
GUUGCUGCUUCGCUGACGAGUGGCGGACGGGUGAGUAAUGUCUGGGAAACUGCCUGAUGGAGGGGGAUAACUACUGGAAACGGUAGCUAAUACCGCAUAACGUCGCAAGACCAAAGAGGGGGACCUUCGGGCCUCUUGCCAUCGGAUGUGCCCAGAUGGGAUUAGCUAGUAGGUGGGGUAACGGCUCACCUAGGCGACGAUCCCUAGCUGGUCUGAGAGGAUGACCAGCCACACUGGAACUGAGACACGGUCCAGACUCCUACGGGAGGCAGCAGUGGGGAAUAUUGCACAAUGGGCGCAAGCCUGAUGCAGCCAUGCCGCGUGUAUGAAGAAGGCCUUCGGGUUGUAAAGUACUUUCAGCGGGGAGGAAGGGAGUAAAGUUAAUACCUUUGCUCAUUGACGUUACCCGCAGAAGAAGCACCGGCUAACUCCGUGCCAGCAGCCGCGGUAAUACGGAGGGUGCAAGCGUUAAUCGGAAUUACUGGGCGUAAAGCGCACGCAGGCGGUUUGUUAAGUCAGAUGUGAAAUCCCCGGGCUCAACCUGGGAACUGCAUCUGAUACUGGCAAGCUUGAGUCUCGUAGAGGGGGGUAGAAUUCCAGGUGUAGCGGUGAAAUGCGUAGAGAUCUGGAGGAAUACCGGUGGCGAAGGCGGCCCCCUGGACGAAGACUGACGCUCAGGUGCGAAAGCGUGGGGAGCAAACAGGAUUAGAUACCCCUG